GCGGCCACCUUGGAUCUCCCUGCCCAGCCCAUUUUGUCAUUGGACACACUUUUGAUUCAGGCCCACCCCCAGCAGCUUUGCAUCACAGCUGGGGGGUAUUUAAAGGUCAAUUAUGUUUGCUCUUGCCAUGGCUCUGAAAUGUCAGAGCUUCAGGCUGUCUCUGCCUUAUGAUUUCUCAGGCAUGUGAUUUCAACCUCUUCAAACAGCAACCAGCGUUGUUAGAGGUUUCUCUCCAACUGAUCAAUGCUAACUGGCUGUUUAACUCUUCCUGUGCUGGACGCAAUUUUGCUAGUCCCUUCUUUUGAUCCGAUCCAACAGCCUAUCCAAGCAUUGUGUAAACCCCACUUGGACUGACUGGCUGGUGUGGCUCUCCUUUGGGAUGCUUGCUAGAUUCGGCACAUAUACUGUGGAAUCCUUUUGCACAGUUUGAUUUAAUGGCAUACAGCUGAUUUUAAUUGUGAUUGGAUGUUCUUGGACCUGGACGGCUUAUUGCACUGCCCUUGAUAAAGCUCAAUCGAGCGAAACAUGUCGGGCCUCCUCCAACAGGUUCCUCUGCUACUGUUUUAGUCGCUAACAUCACCUAUGAGACCAUCCAUGUCUUGUUUGAUAUUCUGUGUUAUUUAAAAA